rnacentral:rRNA from 1 species
GGUCGGGAACUCAAAGGAGACUGAAACUGAUAAACAGGAGGAUUGAGUGGAUGACGUCUAGUCAUCAUGGACCAUCAGACCACGGCAACAAACGUGCUACAAUGUCCCAUACAAAGAGCAGCGCCCUCGCGAGAGCACGCGGACCUCAUAAAGUGCUACGUAGUCCGGCUUGGAGACUGCACCUCGCCUCCAUGAAGUCGGAAUCGCUAAUAAUCGUGGAUCAGAAUGCCACGGAGAAAACGU